rnacentral:rRNA from 1 species
GACGAACGCUGGCGGCGUGCUUCAUACAUGCAAGUCGAACGAGAAGCUGACUUCGGUCAGUGGAAAGUGGCGGACGGGUGAGUAAUAUGUAGGAAAUCUGCCUUUAGGAGGGGGACAACAGAGGGAAACUUCUGCUAAUACCCCAUAUGAGCGUAGCUGAAAUGCUAUUCUUGAAAACUCCGGUGGCUACAGAUGAGCCUGCAUCUGAUUAGCUAGUUGGUAGUGUAAUGGACUACCAAGGCGACGAUCAGUAGCUGGUUUGAGAGGAUGAUCAGCCACAAUGGGACUGAGACACGGCACAUACACGUACGGGAGGCAGCAGUAGGGAAGUUUGCGCAAUGGGCGAAAGCCUGACGAAGCAACGCCGCGUGAACGAUUAAGCCCUUCGGGGUGUAAAGUUCUGUCAGUGGGGACGAAACUUGACGGUACCCACAGAGGAAGCACCGGCUAACUCCGUG